rnacentral:rRNA from 1 species
GACGAACGCUGGCGGCGUGCCUAAUACAUGCAAGUAGAACGCUGAAGAGAGGAGCUUGCUCUUCUUGGAUGAGUUGCGAACGGGUGAGUAACGCGUAGGUAACCUGCCUGGUAGCGGGGGAUAACUAUUGGAAACGAUAGCUAAUACCGCAUGAUAUUAAUUGUCGCAUGAUAAUUAAUUGAAAGACGCAAUUGCAUCACUACCAGAUGGACCUGCGUUGUAUUAGCUAGUUGGUGAGGUAACGGCUCACCAAGGCGACGAUACAUAGCCGACCUGAGAGGGUGAUCGGCCACACUGGGACUGAGACACGGCCCAGACUCCUACGGGAGGCAGCAGUAGGGAAUCUUCGGCAAUGGGGGGAACCCUGACCGAGCAACGCCGCGUGAGUGAAGAAGGUUUUCGGAUCGUAAAGCUCUGUUGUAAGAGAAGAACGGGUGUGAGAGUGGAAAAGUUCACACUGUGACGGUUUC